rnacentral:rRNA from 1 species
GACGAACGCUGGCGGCGUGCUUAACACAUGCAAGUCGAACGGAGUGGCGAACGGGUGAGUAAAACGUGGGUGAUCUGCCUUGCACUUCGGGAUAAGCUUGGGAAACAGGGUCUAAUACCGGAUAGUGCAAGAUGAGAUCGCGGCCUAUAAGCUUGUUGGUGGGGUAAUGGCCUACCAAGGCGUGGACGGGUAGCCGGCCUGAGAGGGUGUACGGCCACAUUGGGACUGAGAUACGGGCCAGAGUCCUACUGGAGGAAGGGGUGGGGAAUAUUGCACAAUGGGCGGAAGGCGGAUGCAGCGCCGCCGGGUGGGGGAUGAAGGCCUUCGGGUUGUAAACUCCUUUCGACAGGGACGCGGUACCUGUAUAAGAAGCACCGGCUAACUACGUGCCAGCAGCCGCGGUAAUAC